rnacentral:rRNA from 1 species
CUUAAUUGGGCGUUAAGUUGCAGGGUAUAGACCCGAAACCCGGUGAUCUAGCCAUGGGCAGGUUGAAGGUUGGGUAACACUAACUGGAGGACCGAACCGACUAAUGUUGAAAAAUUAGCGGAUGACCUGUGGCUGGGGGUGAAAGGCCAAUCAAACCGGGAGAUAGCUGGUUCUCCCCGAAAGCUAUUUAGGUAGCGCCUCGUGAAUUCAUCUCCGGGGGUAGAGCACUGUUUCGGCUAGGGGGCCAUCCCGGCUUACCAACCCGAUGCAAACUGCGAAUACCGGAGAAUGUUAUCACGGGAGACACACGGCGGGUGCUAACGUCCGUCGUGAAGAGGGAAACAACCCAGACCGCCAGCUAAGGUCCCAAAGUCAUGGUUAAGUGGGAAACGAUGUGGGAAGGCCCAGACAGCCAGGAUGUUGGCUUAGAAGCAGCCAUCAUUUAAAGAAAGCGUAAUAGCUCACUGGUCGAGUCGGCCUGCGCGGAAGAUGUAACGGGGCUAAACCAUGCACCGAAGCUGCGGCAGCGAACGUAUCACCCAAGACAACUUUACGGAGUUGACGAUUGACGGAGCGAAGCGACGUCAAAGCGUUCAUUAAAGUCGAGUUGGCUUAGGGAUACGUUCGUUGGGUAGGGGAGCGUUCUGUAAGCCUGUGAAGGUGUGUCGUGAGGCAUGCUGGAGGUAUCAGAAGUGCGAAUGCUGACAUAAGUAACGAUAAAGCGGGUGAAAAGCCCGCUCGCCGGAAGACCAAGGGUUCCUGUCCAACGUUAAUCGGGGCAGGGUGAGUCGACCCCUAAGGCGAGGCCGAAAGGCGUAGUCGAUGGGAAACGGGUUAAUAUUCCCGUACUUGGUGUUACUGCGAAGGGGGGACGGAGAAGGCUAUGUUGGCCGGGCGACGGUUGUCCCGGUUUAAGCGUGUAGGUGUGUGUUCCAGGUAAAUCCGGUU